rnacentral:rRNA from 1 species
UACGGAGGGUGCGAGCGUUGUCCGGAAUCACUGGGCGUAAAGGGCUCGUAGGCGGCCAACUAAGUCAGACGUGAAACCCCUCGGCUUAACCGGGGAACUGCGUCUGAUACUGGAUGGCUUGAGUUCGGGAGAGGGAUGCGGAAUUCCAGGUGUAGAGGUGAAAUUCGUAGAUAUCGAGAGGAACACCGGUGGCGAAGGCGGCCAACUGGACAGAUACUGACGCUGAGACACGAAAGCGUGGGGAGCAAACAGG